GUUGGCUCACUGCAACCUUUGUCUCCCAGGUUCAAGCAAUUCUCCUGUCUCAGCCUCUCAAGUAGCUGGGACUACAGGUGCGCACCACCACGCCUGGCUAAUUUUUGUAUGCUAACAGACCCCUGCAUAUCAGUGAACCAUGCAUAACUUUAACAAAUGCAAUGCAAAGGGUGGUGGUCUGCAUGGAUUAUUUCUAUCAAAAAUGAAUUUAUGCAUUCACCAUUAGAAGCAGAUGCAAGACUAUAGCUUAAAAGCAAAUUAGAAUUCAAGCUGGAUUUGCAAAAAUGGGUAGUACUCACUGUUCACCAGUUGUGUGUAAGCUUUAAACUAAUAACUCAGCAAUUACGAGAAAAAUGAGCGGUAAUUACACCCAUUUUACUCGCGGCUAGACAGAUGGGACAUUUUCUCCUCGUUAUUGGCAAACUGUCACCACAUUUAUUUCAUUUUUACUGUUUACUAUUUGUUGUGCUUUGAUUAAGAGUAAUUAUAGGCUAGGAAAAUAUGAAAAACAUGAAUGUUGGGU
rnacentral:lncRNA from 10 species